rnacentral:rRNA from 1 species
UACGGAGGGUGCAAGCGUUAUCCGGAUUCACUGGGUUUAAAGGGUGCGUAGGAGGGUAGGUAAGUCAGUGGUGAAAUCUUCGAGCUUAACUCGGAAACUGCGGUUGAUACUAUCUAUCUUGAAUACCGCGGAGGUGAGCGGAAUAUGUCAUGUAGCGGUGAAAUGCUUAGAUAUGACAUAGAACACCAAUGGCGAAGGCAGCUCGCUACACGAAUAUUGACGCUGAGGCACGAAAGCGUGGGGAUCAAACAGG